ACAUACCAAUAAAUAAUCGCACAAGUAUGCGUUGCCCGCUGGCCAAAUCAGAAAAACAUUGUUCGUUCAGGCAGCUGACAAUGUCACGGGUUCGCUACCCGAAUGGAAUCAAAUAUUUUAUUUUACAUUUUUUUAAAAUAAUUUUUGUUAUUCUUUUACAAAUAGUCCUUAACUCUUUGUCUCCGUAAUUAUUUAUCACAUUCUGGUGGAAUCAACGCUGGUAUCGUCAGUGUGGAGAGAAAGAGUUAAUAAUGUUUUUCUUGUUCUUCUAAAUGAAACAUUGAGUGGGCCACUCGACAUUGUUUGAGUACCCCUGCAUCAAUUGUAAUUUUUAACGCUCUCCUUUUAUUAGACCUCACUCCUCCCUCUGUGUGCGUAAGGACCAAUUUGGGAACCACUGUAAUAGAACAUGCAAAAUAUUUACAAUGCUUAUAUGCUACUUCCUUGUAUAUUAAACUAACGUCGUUUAAGCGAGAUAUAGCUAGAGGUCAACAUAAACUGAAGAUCUGCGAACACUUCGUCGACACUUAGUAAUUAAGUCUAAUAGCCGGAUAUCCGUUAAGUACAUUAUAAAGAAAUCUUGAUGAACAAAUGCAUGAAUAUAAAUGAGUUGCCUGCUCUCAAAACUACAAGCAUCGCAUUGCAUCAAAAACGUAAGUCCAAUUUCUACCCUAGAAGAUUCAAAAAGACUUCAUUCCUAAUAUCUAGGUGCCAUGGACUUAAAAAAAUAUAUGCCGUUACUUUUAUUAGCUGCUGUUGUUUAUGCAGGUUACGUUGAAGGCUAUAGAGGAAAUGUUGAGUAAUUCUAACUUUUAAAGAUAUGAACUAAU